GCGCGACUCCGCCCCGGGCAAGCCGCGCCGGAGGUGAGCAGGAAGGAGACCGCGGCCCAGCAGCCUGUGGGCCGGCGCGGCGGAACGUACGGGGGAGAGGGACGCCGAGGCCUCGGUCGUGGGGGAGUCCAGGUGAGGCGCGGGCUGUACUCACCUAGCCGGGCCCGCCCCCUUGGUGCGCCCGGCACUCGGGGUUGGGAGGCAGCGGAGGGCAGAGACCCCUGGGCUUCCUGGCCCGGGCGUGGAGGGCUGCGCCCAGGUCCGCCCACCUCGUCCUUGCACCGGUCGCUUGGCUCCUCGGAAAGAAAGACACCUGUAGAAAGUGCCGCUGGGAACUUCUGUCUACCUGACUCGACCUUGAUUACCGAAUUUGGAUUUUGGGUCCCCAGUGGGGGGUACGAGCUAAGCAAGAUGAGGCGGUUCCUGAGACCGGGGCAUGACCUUGCCCGGGAGAGGCUCAAGCGGGACCUGUUCCAGUUUAACAAGACGGUGGAGCAUGGCUUUCCACACCAGCCCAGUGCCCUUGGCUACAGUGCCUACCUGCGCAUCCUGGCCAUCGGCACCCGCUCUGGAGCCAUCAAGCUCUACGGAGCCCCGGGGGUAGAGUUCAUGGGACUACACCAGGAGAACAACGCUGUAACACAGAUCCACUUCCUGCCUGGCCAGUGCCAGUUGGUAACUCUGCUAGAUGACAACAGUCUGCACCUGUGGAGCCUGAAGGUCAAGUCUGGGGUGUCAGAGCUGCAGGAAGAUGAGAGCUUCACACUGCGUGGUCCCCCUGGGGCUGUCCCCAGUGCCACGCAGAUCACUGUGGUCCUGCCACACUCCUCCCGAGAGCUGCUCUACUUGGGCACCGAGAGCGGCAACGUGUUUGUGGUGCAGCUGCCAGCCUUCCGCUCGCUGGAGGACCGGACCAUCGGCUCCGAUGCCGUGCUGCAGCGCUUGCCGGAGGAGGCCCGCCAGCGGCGGGUGUUCGAAAUGGUGGAGGCACUGCAGGAGCACCCUCAAGACCCUAACCAGAUCUUGAUCGGAUACAGCCGAGGCCUCAUUGUCAUCUGGGACCUGCAGGGUAGCCACGUGUUCUGCCACUUCCUCUGCAGCCAGCAAUUGGAGAGUGUCUGUUGGCAGCGGGAUGGCCGCCUGCUUGUCAGCUGUCAUUCCGAUGGCAGCUACUGCCAGUGGUCCAUGUCCAGAGACGCCCAGCACCCAGAGCCCCUCCGCAGCCUUGUGCCUUAUGGUCCAUUUCCUUGCAAAGCUAUUACCAAAAUCUUCUGGCUGACCACCAAGCAGGGGUUGCCCUUCACCGUAUUCCAGGGUGGCAUGCCACGGGCCAGCUACGGGGACCGCCACUGCAUCUCAGUGGUCCAUGAUGGCCAGCAGACGGCCUUCGACUUCACCUCCCGUGUCAUCGACUUCACUGUCAUCACUGAGGCAGACCCCUCGGCUGCCUUUGAUGACCCUUAUGCCCUGGUGGUGUUGGCUGAAGAGGAGCUGGUGGUGAUUGACCUGCAGACGGCAGGCUGGCCGCCAGUGCAGCUGCCCUACUUGGCCUCCCUCCACUGCUCUGCUAUCACCUGCUCCCACCACGUCUCCAAUAUCCCCCUGAAGCUUUGGGAAAGGAUCAUUGCGGCCGGCAGCCUGCAGAAUGCGCAGUUCUCCACCAUGGAGUGGCCCAUCGACGGUGGCACCAGCCUGUCCCCAGCCCCGCCCCAGAGAGACCUGCUGCUCACCGGGCAUGAGGAUGGCACAGUGCGGUUCUGGGACGCCUCCGGCGUGUGCCUGCGGCUGCUGUACAAACUCAGCACAGUGCGCGUGUUCCUCACUGACACGGAUCCCAGUGAGAACCUCAAUGCCCAGGGCGAGGAUGAGUGGCCCCCUCUCCGCAAGGUGGGUUCCUUCGACCCCUACAGCGAUGACCCCCGGCUGGGCAUCCAGAAGAUUUUCCUGUGCAAAUACAGUGGCUACCUGGCUGUGGCAGGCACGGCAGGACAGGUGCUGGUGCUGGAGCUGAAUGACGAGGCGGCGGAGCAGACCGUGGAGCAGGUGGAAGCCGACCUACUGCAGGACCAGGACGGCUACCGCUGGAAGGGGCAUGAGCGCCUGGCCGCCCGCUCGGGACCCGUGCGCUUUGAGCCUGGCUUCCAGCCCUUCGUGUUAGUGCAGUGCCAGCCCCCGGCUGUGGUCACCUCCUUGGCCCUGCACUCAGAGUGGCGGCUUGUGGCCUUUGGCACCAGCCAUGGCUUCGGCCUCUUUGACCACCAGCAGCGGCGGCAGGUGUUUGUGAAAUGCACGCUGCACCCCAGCGACCAACUAGCCUUUGAGGGCCCGCUGUCCCGAGUGAAGUCCCUCAAGAAGUCCCUACGCCAGUCCUUUCGGCGAAUGCGCCGCAGCAGGGCAUCCAGCCGGAAGCGGCGGCCAGGUGGUGCCCCAGGAGAGGUGCUGGAGGGGCGCGCCAAGGUAGAGCGGGCAGGCCUGCAGAACAUGGAGCUGGCGCCUGUGCAACGUAGGAUCGAGGCCCGGUCCGCGGAGGACUCCUUCACAGGCUUCGUCCGGACACUCUACUUUGCUGACACCUACCUGAGGGACAGUUCCCGCCACUGCCCCUCGCUGUGGGCGGGCACCAAUGGGGGCACCGUCUAUGCCUUCUCCCUGCGUGUUCCCCCAGCCGAGCGGAGGAUGGAUGAGCCAGUACGGGCAGAGCAGGCCAAGGAAAUCCAGCUGAUGCACCGAGCGCCCGUGGUGGGUAUCCUUGUGCUUGACGGACACAGCGUGCCCCUUCCCGAGCCCCUGGAGGUGGCCCAUGACCUGUCGAAGAGCCCAGAUAUGCAAGGAAGCCACCAGCUGCUCGUCGUGUCAGAGGAACAGUUCAAGGUAUUCACGCUGCCCAAGGUGAGUGCCAAGCUGAAGUUGAAGCUGACGGCCCUGGAAGGCUCACGCGUGCGGCGGGUCGGCGUGGCCCACUUCAGUAGCUGUCGGGCCGAGGAUUACGGGGAGUACCACCUGGCGGUCCUCACCAACCUGGGCGACAUCCAGGUGGUCUCGCUGCCCCUGCUCAAACCCCAGGUGCGCUACAGUUGCAUCCGCCGGGAAGAUGUCAGUGGCAUCGCCUCUUGUGUCUUCACCAAAUACGGUCAAGGUUUCUACCUGAUCUCCCCCUCUGAGUUUGAGCGUUUCUCUCUCUCCACGAAGUGGUUGGUUGAGCCCCGGUGUCUGGUGGAUUCAGCAGAAACCAAGAGCCAGACCCGACCUGGCAAUGGGGCAGGCCCAGAAAAGGCCUCAGGCUGGGCCAGGAACUCAGGGAGCCAGAGUGACGGAGAGGGUAAGACUGGCCUCCAGGGCCACACCUGGACCACUACUGGAGUUGGAUGGGAGGGAAGGGCACCCCCAGGUGAGCAGGUAAUAUCUGGGGUGAGAGGAGAAACAGCAUUCCUUCCAGCCCUGGGCUCGGGGCUUUUAACACCCCUACCUCAGGAAAGAGAACCAGGCAGAAGAGGGCCCAGGGCAGGGCUCGCCUGACCUGGCCUCUACCUUCUAGAGAAGAAGCCAGGCCCAGUGAUGGAGCACGCUCUACUCAAUGAUGAGAGAGUCCUGAGGGAGAUCCAGAGCACUCUGGAGGGUGACCAAGGAAGCUAUGGCAAUUUGCGUUCUCAUCGAGUGGCCGUGGGGUACAGCCUCAGCAAUGG